rnacentral:rRNA from 1 species
CCUGGUUGACCUUGCCAGUAGUCAUAUGCUUGUCUCAAAUAUUAAGCCAUGCAUGUCUAAGUAUGAACUAGUUCAGACUGUGAAAUUGUGGAUGGCUCAUUAAACCAGUUAUAGUUUUUUUGAUGGUACCAUACUACUCGAAUAGCCGUAGUAAUUCUAGAGAUCAUACAUGCACUAAGUCCUAAAUCUUUGGAAGGGAUGCAUUUUUUAGAUAAAAGGCUGGUGCGGGCUUGCCCGCUUCUCUAGUGAAUCAUGAUAACAUGAUGGAUCACACAUCCAUUGCGCUGGUGAUGCUUCAUUCAAAUUUCGGCCCUAUCAACUUUCGAUGGUAGGAUAGAGGCCUACCAUGGUGGUGACGGGUGAUGGAGAAUUAGGGUUGGAUUCUAGAGAGGGAGACUGAGAAAUGACUACCACAUCUAAGGAAGGUAGCAGGCGUGCAAAUUGCCCAAUCCUGAAAUGGGAAGGUAGUGACAAUAAAUAACAAUACUCGACUCAUCAAGUCUGGUAAUUGGAAUGAGUACAAUCUAAAUCCCUUAAUGAGGAUCCAUUGGAGGGAAAUUCUGGUGCCAGCAGCGAUGGUAAUUCCAACUCCAAUAGUGUAUAUUUAAGUUGUUGCAGUUAAAAUGCUUGUAGUUGGAUCUUGUGUUGUAAAGGUCGGUCCACCUACUUGAUGUGCACCUACGCUUCCAUCCCUUUUGUCGGUUGCAUGCUCCUGGACUUAAUUGGGUGGGUUGCAGCUCUGACACUGUUACUUUAAAAAAAUUAGAGUGCUCAAAGCAAGCUUAUGCUCUGAAUACAUUAGCAUGGAAUAACAUGAUAGGAUUCUGGUCCUAUUUUGUUGGCCUUUGGGACCAGAGUAAUGAUUAAUAGGGACUUUCAGGGGCAUUUGUAUUUCAUUGUUAGAGGUGAAGUUCUUGGAUUUAUGAAAGACAAACCACUAUGAAAGCAUUUUCCAAGGAUGUUUUCAUUAAUCAAGAACGAAAGUUGGGGGCUCAAAGACGAUCAAAUACCGUCCUAGUCUCAACCAUAAACAAUGCCGACCAGGGAUUGGUGGAUGUUGCUCUAAGGAUUCCACUAGAAACUUCUAAGAAAUCAAAGUGUUUGGGUUCUGGGGGGAGUAUUGUGUCAAGGUUGAAACUUAAAGGAAUUGAUGGAAGGGCACCAUCAAGUGUAGAGCCUAUGGCUUAAUUUGACUCAACACGAGGAAAAUUACCAAGUCCAGACAUAGUAAGGAUUGAUAGAUUGAAAGCUCUUUCUUGAUUUUAUGGGUGGUGGUGCAUGGCCGUUCUUAGUUGCUCGAGCAAUUUGGCUGGUUAAUUCCAAUAACGAAUGAAACUUCAACCUGCUAACUAGCUAUGCAGAGGUUCCCCUUUCCGGCCAAUAUCUUAGAGGGACUAUGGCCAUUUAGGCCAUGGAAGUUUGAGGCAAUAACAGGUUUGUGAUUCCCUUAGAUGUUUUGGGCCACACACAUGCUACACUGAUGCAGCUAAUGAGUUUUUCUUCCUGGUUCGAGAGGAUUGGGAAAUCUUCUCAAAUUGAACCAUGAUGGGGAUAAGCCAUUGCAAUUAUUGGUCUUAAAUGAGGAAUUCCUAGUAAGCAUGUGUCAUCAACUCAUGUUAACCACGUCCCUACCCUUUGUACACACCACCCGCCUCUCCUACCAAUUGAAUGAUUUGGUGAAGUGUUCGGAUUGUGUCGACGAUGGUGUUUCGCCACCGUCGACAUCAUGAGAAGUUCAUUGAACCUUAUCAUUUAAAGGAAGGAGAAGUCAUAACAAGGUUACGAUAGGUGAGCCUCCAGUAG